UACGGGGGGGGGCAAGCGUUGUUCGGAAUUACUGGGCGUAAAGGGCUCGUAGGCGGCCAACUAAGUCCGACGUGAAAUCCCCAGGCUUAACCUGGGAACUGCGUCGGAUACUGGAUGGCUUGAAUCCGGGAGAGGGAUGCGGAAUUCCAGGUGUAGCGGUGAAAUGCGUAGAUAUCUGGAGGAAUACCGGUGGCGAAGGCGGCAUCCUGGACCGACAUUGACGCUGAGGAGCGAAAGCUAGGGGAGCAAACAGG
rnacentral:rRNA from 1 species